rnacentral:rRNA from 1 species
UACGAAGGGGGGCUAGCGUUGUUCGGAAUUACUGGGCGUAAAGGGCUCGUAGGCGGCCAACUAAGUCAGACGUGAAAUCCCUCGGCUUAACCGGGGAACUGCGUCCGAUACUUCCGAGCUGGAGGUAGGGUAGGGGAGAUCGGAAUUCCUGGUGUAGCGGUGAAAUGACGCAGAUAUCAGGAGGAACACCGGUGGCGAAGGCGGAUCUCUGGGCCUUACCUGACGCUGGAGGCGCGAAAGCUAGGGGAGCGAACAGG